rnacentral:rRNA from 1 species
UACGUAGGUGGCAAGCGUUAUCCGGAAUUAUUGGGCGUAAAGCGCGCGUAGGCGGUUUUUUAAGUCUGAUGUGAAAGCCCACGGCUCAACCGUGGAGGGUCAUUGGAAACUGGAAAACUUGAGUGCAGAAGAGGAAAGUGGAAUUCCAUGUGUAGCGGUGAAAUGCGCAGAGAUAUGGAGGAACGCCAGUGGCGAAGGCGACUUUCUGGUCUGUAACUGACGCUGAUGUGCGAAAGCGUGGGGAUCAAACAGGAUUAGAU